AUACGGAGGAUCCGAGCGUUAUCCGGAUUUAUUGGGUUUAAAGGGUGCGCAGGCGGCCAUUUAAGUCAGCGGUUAAAUCGUGGGGCUCAACCCCAUUCUGCCGUUGAUACUGGGUGGCUUGAUUGCGGUCGAGGUUGGCGGAAUUCGUUGUGUAGCGGUGAAAUGCAUAGAUAUGACGAAGAACACCGAUUGCGUAGGCAGCUGACCAGACCGCAAAUGACGCUCAUGCACGAAAGUGCGGGGAUCGAACAGGAUUAGAUACCCUGGUAGUCCGCACAGUAAACGAUGAAUACUUGUUUUCGGCGAUAUAAUGUCGGAGGCAAAGCGAAAGCGAUAAGUAUUCCACCUGGGGAGUACGCCGGCAACGGUGUAACUCAAAGGAAUUGACGGGG
rnacentral:rRNA from 1 species